ACUAUUAUAAGUUAUAAAUUUGAUUUUGGUUUAGAAAUUAAUAGUUUAAUUGUUGAUGAGUUUAAUAUGUAAGUUUUUGCGUGAUUUAUCAUUAUUCUUAAAAAGUAUUAUGAUACAUUUUUAUUCGCAGUUUUUGUUUUUAUUUAUUUAAUAAUUUAAGAAAUAGUCAAUUUUAAUGAUAACUAGCAAAAAUUGUGCCAGCAGCUGCGGUUAUACAAUUAGUUAAAAUUAUUAUUAUUAGGUUACCAUUAAGUUUUAAUUAUUAAUUAUAUUAUUAGUUAUUUUUAAGUGAAAUUUAAAUUUAAAUGUAUUAAUUAGGGAAUUAUUAUGGGAAAUUCUUUUUAUUAAACUAGGAUUAGAUACCCUAUUAUAAGGAAUGUAAAAAAGUUAUCUUAAUAUUAUAAGCUAUGAUCUUUAAAUUGAAAAAAUUUGACGGUAAUUUUAAUCAUUUUAGAGGAACCUGUUCUGUAAUUGAUAAUCCACGAUAAAUUUUACCUUUAAAUAAAGCUUGUAUAUCUCUGUCUGAAUUUGAAUGUUUUUUUAGAAUUAUUUUCUUUAAUUUUUAAUUGAAAUAUAUGUCAGGUCAAGGUGCAGCUAUAUAAUGGUUUGAAAUGGGUUACUUUUAAUUUAAAUUUGUAAUUAUUGGAUUAAAUUAUGUAAUUGAUUUAUGAAAUAGGAUUUAAUUGUAAUGUUUAAUAUAUAUUAUUCAUGAUAUAUGUUCUUGAUUAAGUACAUAUCGCCCGUCACUCUCAUUAAUAAGAUGGGAUAAGUCGUAACAAAGUAGUCCUAUCGGAAGAUGGGUCUAGGAUUAUA
rnacentral:ncRNA from 1 species